GCUAAUUUAGUUUAAGUAAAAUAUAAUAUUAGGGGUAUUGGGUUAAAAUUAGCU
rnacentral:tRNA from 1 species